rnacentral:rRNA from 1 species
CGCUGGCGGAAUGCUUUACACAUGCAAGUCGAACGGCAGCACGGGUGCUUGCACNGGUGGCGAGUGGCGAACGGGUGAGUAAUGCGUCGGAACGUACCGAGUAAUGGGGGAUAACGCAGCGAAAGUUGUGCUAAUACCGCAUACGCCCUGAGGGGGAAAGUGGGGGACCGCAAGGCCUCACGUUAUUCGAGCGGCCGACGUCUGAUUAGCUAGUUGGUGGGGUAAAGGCCUACCAAGGCGACGAUCAGUAGCGGGUCUGAGAGGAUGAUCCGCCACACUGGGACUGGGACACGGCCCAGACUCCUACGGGAGGCAGCGGUGGGGAAUUUUGGACAAUGGGGGCAACCCUGAUCCAGCCAUUCCGCGUGAGUGAAGAAGGCCUUCGGGUUGUAAAGCUCUUUCAGCUGGAACGAAACGGUACGCGCUAACAUCGUGUGCUAAUGACGGUACCGGCAGAAGAAGCACCGGCUAACUACGUGCCAGCAGCCGCGGUAAUACGUAGGGUGCGAGCGUUAAUCGGAAUUACUGGGCGUAAAGCGUGCGCAGGCGGAUUGUUAAGCAAGACGUGAAAUCCCCGGGCUUAACCUGGGAAUGGCGUUUUGAACUGGCAGUCUAGAGUGCGUCAGAGGGGGGUGGAAUUCCACGUGUAGCAGUGAAAUGCGUAGAGAUGUGGAGGAACACCGAUGGCGAAGGCAGCCCCCUGGGAUGACACUGACGCUCAUGUACGAAAGCGUGGGUAGCAAACAGGAUUAGAUACCCUGGUAGUCCACGCCCUAAACGGUGUCAACUGGUUGUUGGGGGAGUGAAAUCCCUUAGUAACGAAGCUAACGCGUGAAGUGA